rnacentral:tRNA from 1 species
ACUCAGUAGCUGAAUGGAUGAAGCGAUGGCGUUUGAAGAGAAUGGUACUGGGUUCGAGUCCCAGAGUGGACA